UAGGGAAUCUUCGGCAAUGGACGAAAGUCUGACCGAGCAACGCCGCGUGAGUGAAGAAGGUUUUCGGAUCGUAAAGCUCUGUUGUAAGAGAAGAACGGGUGUGAGAGUGGAAAGUUCACACUGUGACGGCAUCUUACCAGAAAGGGACGGCUAACUACGUGCCAGCAGCCGCGGUAAUACGUAGGUCCCGAGCGUUGUCCGGAUUUAUUGGGCGUAAAGCGAGCGCAGGCGGUUAGAUAAGUCUGAAGUUAAAGGCUGUGGCUUAACCAUAGUACGCUUUGGAAACUGUUUAACUUGAGUGCAGAAGGGGAGAGUGGAAUUCCAUGUGUAGCGGUGAAAUGCGUAGAUAUAUGGAGGAACACCGGUGGCGAAAGCGGCUCUCUGGUCUGUAACUGACGCUGAGGCUCGAAAGCGUGGGGAGCGAACAGGAUUAGAUACCCUGGUAGUCCACGCCGUAAACGAUGAGUGCUAGGUGUUAGGCCCUUUCCGGGGCUUAGUGCCGCAGCUAACGCAUUAAGCACUCCGCCUGGGGAGUACGACCGCAAGGUUG
rnacentral:rRNA from 1 species